GUGACGAAUAAAGUUGACCAGUGCAGUGUCGCUGUCAACCUUACCGUUACGUUGUCUUGUAUGUAGCGAUCGAGUGGACGCGAACACUCGGGGAUUUCGGAGGUCGAAAUACUGCGAAUUUAGAAACACACAACGUGUGGUUGACCAGUGCAGUGUCACUGUCACCCGGUUUGUUGUGUUUCAAGUUCGGAGUCUCCUUCGCCUGUUACGUGGUCGCCAUUUUGUGAGAGAGUGAACAGUAUAUAAGAAUCUAGAACUCAGUUGAUUAACAAAUAUCAAUAAUCAUGGGACGCUACUCUGGAAAGUCAUGUCGUCUGUCAGUUAUGUUGUCUAUGACCGCAACUUUCUUCUUAGUUGAGAUAAUUGUUGGUUAUGUGACCAACUCGAUGGCGUUAGUUGCUGACUCAUUUCACAUGCUGUCAGAUGUUGUGUCUUUACUUGUAGGGUUUUUUGCUGUGAGGGUAAGUAUAUUAUCAGUCAUACAGUUUGUAUCUUAUGAGAUUAAAGUAUGGUUAUGUUAACAGAUAAAU